UAGUGAAGGAUGCACUGACUUACCCAAGAUAAUUGCAGUUAUGAAUUAAAGAUGUUUGGUUGUGAUUGAUUGUGUGGAUAUGCUCUUACUGCUGCUUAUAAACCCAACACAGAACUUGGAUUACAAAGGCUUUUGUGAUCGAUAUUUAUUUAAAGAAAAAAAAUAAUCCUACAAUAUACUUUUUAUUUUUAUUUUUUAUUUUUUUAUGGUGUAUAGCCAAGCCUUGUUUUUGCUGCAGUUUUCCUCCAUACCAAGUCAUUUAUAAUUAAUUUGGCAAAGAGUGUUUAAGUAGAAACAAACACACAAGGACAGAGACCAUCUCGUGCGCACGUUGAUGGCAGUAAGUAAAGUGAAAAUCCUGUCUUAAUAAAUUCAAAGCCUUACACCUCACAACGAGGCUAUGCAUAACGUGUAUUAAGCCAAGAAUAGCCUUGAUUAACUCUGCUUAUUGGGAGUAAUGUGACCCUAAUGUGAAUUAACAGGGAAAGGCUGAAGAGGUGCUGGGGGUGUAUGGCUUUGUUCUGUGGGAUGCCUUCUGUGCCAUUUUGCCUAGCACGUGCGUCUGUAUUUCUGGUAACAGCAACUGUCUCUGCUGCUGGAGCUCCUUACCCUGCUGUAUUUGGGUAUCAAACUUCUCUGAAACUAAACGAAAACGCUUCUGAGUGCAAGGAGGAAUAUGCAACUGUUUGCCUUCUUGCCAGAUUUUUCCUCCUCAGCAGCAAAUCAUUGCACAAUUCGGUUUGGGAUAGUAAAUCCAAGCACUUAAUGAGUUUUGUUUUGCCUUUCAGAUUGUUUCAAGAAAAAAUCCAGAGGAUGUCCAGGAGUCUCGUACCACAGUUGAGGAGAACCUGGAUAGUUGAUGAAAGAAGAGCCCAUAAGUGAAUUCAGUGCAUCUAUGUAUGGUCAAGCAUGAGUUACUGAUUAGUGGCUUGGCAGAGGUGAGAAUUGCCUACUACAUCUAAUACCCCCUUUGUUGCAUCCUUCUUUGAAAUCUUGAGGAUCAGACAAGCAUGAAUGUUCGUGCUUUUGCCACUUUUUUUUAAUCUAUAGAAGAUUAAAGUAGUUUAUCCGAAUCAGAUAUAAUCAUGGACCUAGUUUUAGACCUGCAUUAUUGUAGCUUGUAGCUUGAUGUUCACCUUUUCCAGGGAGAUUCCUGAAUUCAGCCCACCCAUGAACACACUCUGCCAUUACCUUAAUCUUCAUUUGUGGGAAAAGCACUUUAUAGCAGCUGUUGAUGAGCCGUUCCUCAGAAAAAAUAUAUUGUAAGUGUCUUUCAGCUAGUGUAUUGCAUGAAUAUAUGUUAAACAGUUUUGAAAAAAUAGCAGAACAGUGUCCUUUUUCCUUGUAGCUAGUAGAUGUAGGUUAGCCUUGCAGGAUUCCACAUACUCUAGUCAGCAAGGAAACAUAAAUGUGCCGUGAACUUGUUGAUGAAUGUCCCUUUUCCACACUUACUGCAUUCAAAUUAAUUAUCUUGCAUGUGAUAGCAUGGUAGCUGUGGAGUGAUCCUGUUAUAAGCAAACAACUGAACAGCAAUACCCUAGG
rnacentral:lncRNA from 1 species